UGCAGCCUGAAUAAAGAUUGACUGUGGACUCGUUUCUUUUCAGAGCUCGGCCUCAUAACAUGACAGCAGAACAGGUGACUCACAGACGAACCUGAUAUCUUCCGCCAGAGAGACGUUCUAUGGUUUUGAACUGAAAAGGUGCCGUCUCAGCAAAAACAGUCCUUGUUCCAUCUACAACUCAGCCUGCGAUCAAGACAGAAGGGGACCAAUGGAGUGGGGAGAAGCAACCACAUGAGUGCAUGUUUGAGGACUUGGAUGCAACACGGCGGUUGAGGGAGUGCGAGCUGGCAACAGAUAAGAGGGACGUUUUAAACUG
rnacentral:lncRNA from 1 species